rnacentral:rRNA from 1 species
UACGGGGGGGGCAAGCGUUGUCCGGAUUUAUUGGGCGUAAAGAGCGUGUAGGCGGCCAUACAGGUCAGCUGUGAAAACUCGAGGCUCAACCUCGAGACGUCGGUUGAAACCGUAUGGCUAGAGUCCGGAAGAGGAGAGUGGAAUUCCCGGUGUAGCGGUGAAAUGCGCAGAUAUCGGGAAGAACACCCGUGGCGAAGGCGGCUCUCUGGGACGGUACUGACGCUGAGACGCGAAAGCGUGGGGAGCGAACAGG